UACAGAGGGUGCGAGCGUUAAUCGGAAUUACUGGGCGUAAAGCGCACGUAGGCGGAUUUGUAAGUCAGGGGUGAAAUCCCGGGGCUCAACCUCGGAACUGCCUUUGAUACUGCAAAUCUCGAGUCCGGAAGAGGUGAGUGGAAUUCCUAGUGUAGAGGUGAAAUUCGUAGAUAUUAGGAAGAACACCAGUGGCGAAGGCGGCUCACUGGUCCGGUACUGACGCUGAGGUGCGAAAGCGUGGGGAGCAAACAGG
rnacentral:rRNA from 1 species